GGAUCUGCGGUGGGUACGGGCAGACUAGAGUGAUGUAGGGGGAGACUGGAAUUCCUGGUGUAGCGGUGAAAUGCGCAGAUAUCAGGAGGAACACCGAUGGCGAAGGCAGGUCUCUGGGCAUUAACUGACGCUGAGGAGCGAAAGCAUGGGGAGCGAACAGGAUUAGAUACCCUGGUAGUCCAUGCCGUAAACGUUGGGCACUAGGUGUGGGGGACAUUCCACGUUUUCCGCGCCGUAGCUAACGCAUUAAGUGCCCCGCCUGGGGAGUACGGCCGCAAGGCUAAAACUCAAAGGAAUUGACGGGGGCCCGCACAAGCGGCGGAGCAUGCGGAUUAAUUCGAUGCAACGCGAAGAACCUUACCAAGGCUUGACAUGGACCGGACCGCCGCAGAAAUGUGGUUUCCCCUUUGGGGCUGGUUUACAGGUGGUGCAUGGUUGUCGUCAGCUCGUGUCGUGAGAUGUUGGGUUAAGUCCCGCAACGAGCGCAACCCUCGUUCUAUGUUGCCAGCACGUGAUGGUGGGGACUCAUAGGAGACUGCCGGGGUCAACUCGGAGGAAGGUGGGGACGACGUCAAAUCAUCAUGCCCCUUAUGUCUUGGGCUUCACGCAUGCUACAAUGGCCGGUACAAAGGGUUGCGAUACUGUGAGGUGGAGCUAAUCCCAAAAAGCCGGUCUCAGUUCGGAUUGGGGUCUGCAACUCGACCCCAUGAAGUCGGAGUCGCUAGUAAUCGCAGAUCAGCAACGCUGCGGUGAAUACGUUCCCGGGCCUUGUACACACC
rnacentral:rRNA from 1 species